UUAAGCGACUAAGCGUACACGGUGGAUGCCCUGGCAGUCAGAGGCGAUGAAGGACGUGCUAAUCUGCGAUAAGCGUCGGUAAGGUGAUAUGAACCGUUAUAACCGGCGAUUUCCGAAUGGGGAAACCCAGUGUGUUUCGACACACUAUCAUUAACUGAAUCCAUAGGUUAAUGAGGCGAACCGGGGGAACUGAAACAUCUAAGUACCCCGAGGAAAAGAAAUCAACCGAGAUUCCCCCAGUAGCGGCGAGCGAACGGGGAGCAGCCCAGAGCCUGAAUCAGUGUGUGUGUUAGUGGAAGCGUCUGGAAAGGCGCGCGAUACAGGGUGACAGCCCCGUACACAAAAAUGCACAUGCUGUGAGCUCGAUGAGUAGGGCGGGACACGUGGUAUCCUGUCUGAAUAUGGGGGGACCAUCCUCCAAGGCUAAAUACUCCUGACUGACCGAUAGUGAACCAGUACCGUGAGGGAAAGGCGAAAAGAACCCCGGCGAGGGGAGUGAAAAAGAACCUGAAACCGUGUACGUACAAGCAGUGGGAGCACGCUUCGGCGUGUGACUGCGUACCUUUUGUAUAAUGGGUCAGCGACUUAUAUUCUGUAGCAAGGUUAACCGAAUAGGGGAGCCGAAGGGAAACCGAGUCUUAACUGGGCGUUAAGUUGCAGGGUAUAGACCCGAAACCCGGUGAUCUAGCCAUGGGCAGGUUGAAGGUUGGGUAACACUAACUGGAGGACCGAACCGACUAAUGUUGAAAAAUUAGCGGAUGACUUGUGGCUGGGGGUGAAAGGCCAAUCAAACCGGGAGAUAGCUGGUUCUCCCCGAAAGCUAUUUAGGUAGCGCCUCGUGAAUUCAUCUCCGGGGGUAGAGCACUGUUUCGGCAAGGGGGUCAUCCCGACUUACCAACCCGAUGCAAACUGCGAAUACCGGAGAAUGUUAUCACGGGAGACACACGGCGGGUGCUAACGUCCGUCGUGAAGAGGGAAACAACCCAGACCGCCAGCUAAGGUCCCAAAGUCAUGGUUAAGUGGGAAACGAUGUGGGAAGGCCCAGACAGCCAGGAUGUUGGCUUAGAAGCAGCCAUCAUUUAAAGAAAGCGUAAUAGCUCACUGGUCGAGUCGGCCUGCGCGGAAGAUGUAACGGGGCUAAACCAUGCACCGAAGCUGCGGCAGCGACGCUGAUGCGUUGUUGGGUAGGGGAGCGUUCUGUAAGCCUGCGAAGGUGUGCUGUGAGGCAUGCUGGAGGUAUCAGAAGUGCGAAUGCUGACAUAAGUAACGAUAAAGCGGGUGAAAAGCCCGCUCGCCGGAAGACCAAGGGUUCCUGUCCAACGUUAAUCGGGGCAGGGUGAGUCGACCCCUAAGGCGAGGCCGAAAGGCGUAGUCGAUGGGAAACAGGUUAAUAUUCCUGUACUUGGUGUUACUGCGAAGGGGGGACGGAGAAGGCUAUGUUGGCCGGGCGACGGUUGUCCCGGUUUAAGCGUGUAGGCUGGUUUUCCAGGCAAAUCCGGAAAAUCAAGGCUGAGGCGUGAUGACGAGGCACUACGGUGCUGAAGCAACAAAUGCCCUGCUUCCAGGAAAAGCCUCUAAGCAUCAGGUAACAUCAAAUCGUACCCCAAACCGACACAGGUGGUCAGGUAGAGAAUACCAAGGCGCUUGAGAGAACUCGGGUGAAGGAACUAGGCAAAAUGGUGCCGUAACUUCGGGAGAAGGCACGCUGAUAUGUAGGUGAAGUCCCUCGCGGAUGGAGCUGAAAUCAGUCGAAGAUACCAGCUGGCUGCAACUGUUUAUUAAAAACACAGCACUGUGCAAACACGAAAGUGGACGUAUACGGUGUGACGCCUGCCCGGUGCCGGAAGGUUAAUUGAUGGGGUUAGCCGCAAGGCGAAGCUCUUGAUCGAAGCCCCGGUAAACGGCGGCCGUAACUAUAACGGUCCUAAGGUAGCGAAAUUCCUUGUCGGGUAAGUUCCGACCUGCACGAAUGGCGUAAUGAUGGCCAGGCUGUCUCCACCCGAGACUCAGUGAAAUUGAACUCGCUGUGAAGAUGCAGUGUACCCGCGGCAAGACGGAAAGACCCCGUGAACCUUUACUAUAGCUUGACACUGAACAUUGAGCCUUGAUGUGUAGGAUAGGUGGGAGGCUUGGAAGUGUGGACGCCAGUCUGCAUGGAGCCGACCUUGAAAUACCACCCUUUAAUGUUUGAUGUUCUAACGUUGACCCGUAAUCCGGGUUGCGGACAGUGUCUGGUGGGUAGUUUGACUGGGGCGGUCUCCUCCUAAAGAGUAACGGAGGAGCACGAAGGUUGGCUAAUCCUGGUCGGACAUCAGGAGGUUAGUGCAAUGGCAUAAGCCAGCUUGACUGCGAGCGUGACGGCGCGAGCAGGUGCGAAAGCAGGUCAUAGUGAUCCGGUGGUUCUGAAUGGAAGGGCCAUCGCUCAACGGAUAAAAGGUACUCCGGGGAUAACAGGCUGAUACCGCCCAAGAGUUCAUAUCGACGGCGGUGUUUGGCACCUCGAUGUCGGCUCAUCACAUCCUGGGGCUGAAGUAGGUCCCAAGGGUAUGGCUGUUCGCCAUUUAAAGUGGUACGCGAGCUGGGUUUAGAACGUCGUGAGACAGUUCGGUCCCUAUCUGCCGUGGGCGCUGGAGAACUGAGGGGGGCUGCUCCUAGUACGAGAGGACCGGAGUGGACGCAUCACUGGUGUUCGGGUUGUCAUGCCAAUGGCACUGCCCGGUAGCUAAAUGCGGAAGAGAUAAGUGCUGAAAGCAUCUAAGCACGAAACUUGCCCCGAGAUGAGUUCUCCCUGACUCCUUGAGAGUCCUGAAGGAACGUUGAAGACGACGACGUUGAUAGGCCGGGUGUGUAAGCGCAGCGAUGCGUUGAGCUAACCGGUACUAAUGAACCGUGAGGCUUAACCUU
rnacentral:rRNA from 1 species